rnacentral:rRNA from 1 species
UACGAAGGGGGCUAGCGUUGUUCGGAAUGACUGGGCGUAAAGCGCACGUAGGCGGGUUGGUAAGUCAGGGGUGAAAUCCUGGAGCUCAACUCCAGAACUGCCUUUGAUACUGGCAACCUAGAGACUGGAAGAGGUUAGUGGAAUUCCCAGUGUAGAGGUGAAAUUCGUAGAUAUUGGGAAGAACACCAGUGGCGAAGGCGGCUAACUGGUCCAGCACUGACGCUGAGGUGCGAAAGCGUGGGGAGCAAACAGG